rnacentral:lncRNA from 1 species
UUUUAUCACCACAAGCAAUAAUAAAAGUCAUAAAUAAUCAUAUUAUCAAACGAUGUGACUGCCAAGCUGGUGAUGGAGAAAAUUAUACGUCAUUCAAUGGAAUUUUUAUAGCCGGGUCAUGAUUUGGCCACCUAUCACAUCACAUUCACUUAUCAGUUUAUAACUUUAUAUGUAUCUUUGCAUUAUCUCUAAUACUACAAAUUAUUUAGGUCGACCAAAAUGUAUUCAUCCAAUGUCUGAAUUACAAAUAAAUAGCAAAACAUUUUGAUAAAAUUUCAUUUAAAAAGAUAAAAAUACAUAAUGAAGGUUUUAGUUGAUAGUUUUCAGAUUAAAGUAAAGCCAUCAAUUGAGGAACACAAAAUCACCAUUUAGGAUAUAGCGACUGUUUUGCUCUUAACAUGAACAGCAAAUUUUAUAAUAAAUAUAAUAAACAUAAACCCAAAAUCGCUUUCAAACUUGUUAAUUUAGAGUCUCCUUCAUGACAUCUUCAGAAACCCCCAUGUUGCAUCUUCAAUAGGUAAAACCAAUGCUAGCUUCAAUAAUCGAUAGACUAAUGGAAACACAAUAUGUCUCUUUGUUUCCACCAUCACUCUAGCAAGGUCAGAAAUACUUUCCAAGUUUAACCGGUGGUAUUUUCCUUUUCAGAGCUAUCUUCAUUUUUUUUUUCUAGCCAUAUAAUAUAAGAAUUAGCUAAUUCUACUUUUUUCAACAUUUUCAAGAAUUAGAUUAAGUCAAAUAAACAAUAAUUAGCUAUUAAAAACUACCAUUUAAUAAUUGAUUUAGAUAAGGGAAAUAAUUGAAGGACAACAAAAGCCAACCUAAGUUAACAAUCUACCAAGUUACAAAAUACAAACCCAAACAAUUAACGAUUUUAUUUUCAAUAAAACCAAACAAAUUUAACCACUACAAAAGGUAACAAUUAAACACAAACAAGGAAAGAAUUAAUUAAGAACAAAUAACAAGUAUCACGUAACAAAAGAUUUAGAAGAUAGUGAUACUUAAAUACCUUAAGAGAGGAUAAAGUGUGGACUUGUGUCGUGGUGGAGACUGUAGGUAGCACUGGUGUUAUUGGAACCGGAAUCGAAUGGUGCGGCGGACGGGAGGGCAGUGGCCACGCCGGACGGCCUGAUGUGCUGUUGUUCACUGACAUGAACUCGCGGUGGCAGUGAGAGUGAGAGUUGCUCUGGUUCGAA